UCUACGGGAGGCAGCAGUGGGGAAUAUUGCACAAUGUGGGAAACCCUGAUGCAGCGACGCCGCGUGAGUGAAGAAGUAUUUCGGUAUGUAAAGCUCUAUCAGCCGGGAAGAAAUAGCGACCUUUGGGUCGCCAGACGGUACCUGACUAAGAAGCCCCGGCUAACUACGUGCCAGCAGCCGCGGUAAUACGUAGGGGGCAAGCGUUAUCCGGAUUUACGGUGUGGAAAGGGAGCGUAGACGGCAGCACAAGUCUGAAGUGAAAUGCCGGGGCUUAACCCCGGAACUGCUUUGGAAACUGUGCAGCUAGAGUGCAGGACAGGUAAGUGGAAUUCCUAGUGUAGCGGUGAAAUGCGUAGAGAUUAGGAGGAACACCAGUGGCGAAGGCGGCUUACUGGACUGUAACUGACGUUGAGGCUCGAAAGCGUGGGGAGCAAACAGGAGUAGAUACCCUGGUAGUC
rnacentral:rRNA from 1 species